AUUGAACGCUGGCGGCGUGCUUAAUACAUGCAAGUCGAUCGGUAACAGGUGUAGCAAUACAUGCUGACGAGAGGCGGACGGGUGAGGAACGCUUGGGAAUCUGCCUAUCAGCGGGGGACAACCCGGGGAAACCCGGGCUAAUACCGCAUACGCUCUACGGAGGAAAGCCGGGGACCGCAAGGCCUGGCACUGAUAGAUGAGCCCAAGUCGGAUUAGCUAGUUGGCGGGGUAACGGCCCACCAAGGCGACGAUCCGUAGCUGGUCUGAGAGGACGAUCAGCCACACCGGAACUGAGACACGGUCCGGACUCCUACGGGAGGCAGCAGUGGGGAAUAUUGGACAAUGGGCGAAAGCCUGAUCCAGCGACGCCGCGUGGGUGAAGAAGGCCUGCGGGUUGUAAAGCCCUUUCGGUAGGGACGAAAGCUCUCGACCUAACACGUCGGGAGGUUGACUUAACCUACAAAAGAAGCACCGGCUAACUCUGUGCCAGCCGCCGCAGUAA
rnacentral:rRNA from 1 species